rnacentral:rRNA from 1 species
UGACGAGUGGCGGACGGGUGAGUAAUGUCUGGGAAACUGCCUGAUGGAGGGGGAUAACUACUGGAAACGGUAGCUAAUACCGCAUAACGUCGCAAGACCAAAGAGGGGGACCUUCGGGCCUCUUGCCAUCGGAUGUGCCCAGAUGGGAUUAGCUAGUAGGUGAGGUAACGGCUCACCUAGGCGACGAUCCCUAGCUGGUCUGAGAGGAAGGUCCCCCACAUUGGAACUGAGACACGGUCCAAACUCCUACGGGAGGCAGCAUG